rnacentral:rRNA from 1 species
CCUACGGGGGGCAGUAGUGAGGAAUAUUGGUCAAUGGACGAGAGUCUGAACCAGCCAAGUCGCGUGAAGGAUGACUGCCCUAUGGGUUGUAAACUUCUUUUAUAAAGGAAUAAAACGAGGCAAGUGUGCCUUUUUGCAUGUACUUUAUGAAUAAGGAUCGGCUAACUCCGUGCCAGCAGCCGCGGUAAUACGGAGGAUCCGAGCGUUAUCCGGAUUUAUUGGGUUUAAAGGGAGCGUAGAUGGGUUGUUAAGUCAGUUGUGAAAGUUUGCGGCUCAACCGUAAAAUUGCAAUUGAUACUGGCAGUCUUGAGUACAGUUGAGGUAGGCGGAAUUCGUGGUGUAGCGGUGAAAUGCUUAGAUAUCACGAAGAACCCCGAUUGCGAAGGCAGCUUACUAAACUGUGACUGACAUUGAUGCUCGAAAGUGUGGGGAUCAAACAGGAUUAGAUACCCGUGUAGUC